GAUCUUUUAAACUUGCAAACUGCUCGGACAUCACAAAAGGAUGCGACGCUAAAUCUAAUUCUGAUAAUUGUUUAGCAAGCUGUGUGGCAGCAGUAGUCAGUCCUUCUUCAACGCGAGCCACUUCCCAUUCAUGACUUAAAUCACAAUUCAUA
rnacentral:sRNA from 1 species